rnacentral:lncRNA from 1 species
ACCCAACUCCGAGGGCGUGGGCCUGAGCGCCAAGUGUGCAAACUCCCGCAGGCGAGAGCUGACUGCCGGGCGCAGGUGGGUUGCCUGGCUCCACGCUGCGACCCGCAGGGCGAGUGGCCGAGUUCCGCGGACGGAACCGGGAGGAUGUGAGACCUGUCUUUGAAGUCUGCUCGCGGUGAGCGUUCAAAAUCAGCAGUGUUUGCUCAGGUUGCACUGACCCUUUCCAGUGAGCGACCCCCUGCGCCGCUCGCUUCCUUGGCCAGUAGCUGAGUAAAGGAAAGCCUGGCAGUGUAAAACGGCCCCAGCCAAAACUUACUCCCCGCCACCCCGGGGGCCGUGAGAAACCCGCUGCACAUAAUAACCAGAACUGAAAACUUCCCCAAUGAACAGAGUGCAAAACAGCUGAAGAAGGAUCCUCAUUACUCAAAAGAUACGUUGACACACCUCUGGGCUUUGAGCCUGUGAGAAGGGCCCAGCUCUCUGCCACUUAAAGUAGCAACAUGGUUGAUGACAUUCUUCUUUGGCCCGCUCCCUGUGAGAGAACACAAACCACUCCAAGAUGAGCUGGAAUGCAGCCUUCAUCAUAGGACGAUGAUCUUUUCCAACUGUAUUCAAGUCUGGAGUUCUUCGGGUAAAAAUUAAUCUUCCUGUGGACUCCAGAGGGCCCAUGGGAUUUUCCUUUUGGAUUAGAUGGAUGGUGGCAAGGUAAGCCUGAAGUUUCUCUUCAUGUUAUUACCUAUUAUUUUCUCUGGAAGGGAGGUUUGAAGAGCCCCUUGACUGUGCAGUGGGCAUUGGGAAUUAAGAGAAUGUUUAUUUUCAAUGGCAUGUUCUCAAAGAAAUAUAUAGGCAACUGUCAAAUUCCCUAACCUCCUUAAGCAUCAAGUUCAUAAGUUCUAAAAUGUAUGUAUUUAUAGUACCAUAUUCUAUUUUCCAGGAUUGGUGUGGGAUUAAAAUGAAAUAAUUCAUAUAAAGUCCUAAGCAUAUUGCCUGGGAUUUGGUGAAUGCUUUAAUGUCAGCAGCUACAUAACCAUAUUGAUAAUGUAU